AUUGAACGCUGGCGGCAUGCCUUACACAUGCAAGUCGAGCGGCAGCGCGGGAGCAAUCCUGGCGGCGAGUGGCGAACGGGUGAGUAAUGCAUCGGAACGUGCCCUGAAGUGGGGGAUAACGUAGCGAAAGUUACGCUAAUACCGCAUAUUCUGUGAGCAGGAAAGAGGGGGAUCGCAAGACCUCUUGCUUUAGGAGCGGCCGAAGUCGGAUUAGCUAGUUGGUGAGGUAAAGGCUCACCAAGGCGACGAUCCGUAGCGGGUCUGAGAGGAUGAUCCGCCACACUGGGACUGAGACACGGCCCAGACUCCUACGGGAGGCAGCAGUGGGGAAUUUUGGACAAUGGGCGCAAGCCUGAUCCAGCCAUGCCGCGUGAGUGAAGAAGGCCUUCGGGUUGUAAAGCUCUUUCGGCGGGGAAGAAAUUGCUUCGGCUAAUAUCCGGAGUAGAUGACGGUACCCGCAUAAGAAGCACCGGCUAACUACGUGCCAGCCGCCGCCGUAACAC
rnacentral:rRNA from 1 species